rnacentral:rRNA from 1 species
CAGGCCUAACACAUGCAAGUCGAGGGGUAGAAGAGGCUUGCUUCUUUGAGACCGGCGCACGGGUGCGUAACGCGUAUGCAACCUACCUUCAUCUGGGGGAUAGCCCGGAGAAAUCCGGAUUAACACCGCAUAAAAUCACAGUACUGCAUAGUACAAUGAUCAAAUACUUAUAGGAUGGAGAUGGGCAUGCGUGUCAUUAGCUAGUUGGCGGGGUAACGGCCCACCAAGGCGACGAUGACUAGGGGAUCUGAGAGGAUGGCCCCCCACACUGGUACUGAGACACGGACCAGACUCCUACGGGAGGCAGCAGUAAGGAAUAUUGGUCAAUGGAGGCAACUCUGAACCAGCCAUGCCGCGUGCAGGAAGACUGCCCUAUGGGUUGUAAACUGCUUUUAUUCGGGAAUAAACCUAUUUACGUGUAAAUAGCUGAAUGUACCGAAGAAUAAGGAUCGGCUAACUCCGUGCCAGCAGCCGCGGUAAUACGGAGGAUCCAAGCGUUAUCCGGAUUUAUUGGGUUUAAAGGGUGCGUAGGCGGCCUGUUAAGUCAGGGGUGAAAGACGGUAGCUCAACUAUCGCAGUGCCCUUGAUACUGAUGGGCUUGAAUGGACUAGAGGUAGGCGGAAUGAGACAAGUAGCGGUGAAAUGCAUAGAUAUGUCUCAGAACACCGAUUGCGAAGCAGCUUACUAUGGUCUUAUUGACGCUGAGGCACGAAAGCGUGGGGAUCAAACAGGAUUAGAUACCCUGGUAGUCCACGCCCUAAACGAUGAACACUCGCUGUUGGCGAUACACAGUCAGCGGCUAAGCG